AGUGAACGCUGGCGGUAGGCCUAACACAUGCAAGUCGAACGGCAGCACAGUAAGAGCUUGCUCUUACGGGUGGCGAGUGGCGGACGGGUGAGGAAUACAUCGGAAUCUACUUUUUCGUGGGGGAUAACGUAGGGAAACUUACGCUAAUACCGCAUACGACCUACGGGUGAAAGCAGGGGAUCUUCGGACCUUGCGCGAUUGAAUGAGCCGAUGUCGGAUUAGCUAGUUGGCGGGGUAAAGGCCCACCAAGGCGACGAUCCGUAGCUGGUCUGAGAGGAUGAUCAGCCACACUGGAACUGAGACACGGCCCAGACUCCUACGGGAGGCAGCAGUGGGGAAUAUUGGACAAUGGGCGCAAGCCUGAUCCAGCCAUACCGCGUGGGUGAAGAAGGCCUUCGGGUUGUAAAGCCCUUUUGUUGGGAAAGAAAGGCAGCAGGUUAAUACCCCGCUGUUCUGACGGUACCCAAAGAAUAAGCACCGGCUAACUUCGUG
rnacentral:rRNA from 1 species